rnacentral:lncRNA from 1 species
UUGAAUAUGUGAGCUCGAGGGGAUUUGCCUUUAGAUUUCUCAAUGAGCCACUGAACAAACUGAAGCCAGUUUUGUCCAGUGGGUUGCUUAAUUCCAAUCCAGUGCAACAUGUGAGUUCUCAGUUCAGUUGCAUAAGAGCAAUGCAGGAAUAAGUGUUCCCUAGUUUCCACAGCUUGUUGGCACAUGACACAAGUGUCUGUUACAUCCAGAUUCCAUUUGAUGAACCUUGUUUUGGUGGGCAGCCUAUCUUGCAGGAGCAGCCAUAGGUUGAAGAUUGCUU